rnacentral:rRNA from 1 species
GACGAACGCUGGCGGCGUGGAUUAGGCAUGCAAGUCGAACGGUAGGAUACCUUCGGGUAUCUGAGAGUGGCGAACGGGUGAGUAACACGUAGGUGAUCUACCCUCAAGAUUGGGACAACCCAGGGAAACUUGGGCUAAUACCGGAUGAAAGCAGCAGUGAUGUUGUUUGAAAGGUGGCGUAAGCUGCCGUUUGGGGAUGAGCCUGCGCUCUAUUAGUUAGUUGGCGGGGUAAAGGCCCACCAAGGCGAUGAUAGAUAGGCGGCCUUAACGGGUGGUCGCCCACACUGGGAUUGAGAUACGGCCCAGACUCCUACGGGAGGCAGCAGUCGAGAAUAGUCUACAAUGGCCGAAAGGCUGAUAGUGCGACGCCGCGUGAACGAAGAAGCCCUUCGGGGUGUAAGUUCUUUUAUAUGUGAGCAGUGCUUUCUAUGUGAACAGCAUGGGGAGAGAGAUAUUAGCAUAUGAAUAAGCAACGGCUAACUCCGUGCCAGC